GCCCUCAUGGCACAGUGGUAAUGCGUCGCACUCGUAGUCUUCUUACGAUGUAAUGCGAAGAUCCUCAGUUCAAUUCUGAGUGGGGGCA